CUGAAUAAGGGAGUGAAAUAGUACCUGAAACCGUGUGCUUACAAGCGGUCGGAGCUUCUUCGUGAAGUGACGGCGUGCCUUUUGCAUAAUGAUCCUACGAGUUGCUCCUCACUAGCGAGGUUAAGGGCUGAAGGCCCGGAGCCGAAGCGAAAGCGAGUCUGAAUAGGGCGUAUAGUUAGUGGGGGCAGACGCGAAACCUAGUGAUCUACCCAUGGCCAGGGUGAAGCUUUGGUAACACAAAGUGGAGGCCCGAACCCGUUGACGUUGAAAAGUCUUGGGAUGAGCUGUGGGUAGGGGUGAAAGGCUAAUCAAACUGGGAAAUAGCUCGUACUCCCCGAAAUGUAUUUAGGUACAGCCUUGAGUGUAGUGUAUUAGAGGUAGAGCUACUGGUUGGAUGCGGGGGCUUCACCGCCUACCAAGUCCUGUCAAACUCCGAAUGCUAAUACAUGUUCCUCAGGAGUGAGGGCCGGGGUGCUAAGGUCACGGUCCGAGAGGGAAACAACCCAGAUCAUCUGCUAAGGUCCCAAAAUAUAUGCUAAGUUGAACAAACGAGGUCGGGCUGCUUUGACAGCUAGGAUGUUGGCUUGGAAGCAGCCAUUCAUUUAAAGAGUGCGUAACAGCUCACUAGUCGAGCGGCCUGGCAUGGACAAUAAUCGGGCAUUAAGCAUAUUACCGAAGCAAUGGGCUCGUAAGAGCGGUAGGGGAGCAUUCUGGUUGCGCCGAAGGUUGACCGUAAGGUUGGCUGGAGCGGCCAGAAAAGAAAAUGUAGGAAUAAGUAACGAUAAUGCAGGUGAGAAACCUGCACACCGUAAACCCAAGGUUUCCUCAGCAAUGCUAAUCAGCUGAGGGUUAGUCGGGACCUAAGGCGAACCCGAACGGGGUAGUCGAUGGAUAACUGGUUAAUAUUCCAGUACUCGCUUUAACUGCGAUGGGGUAACGAAGGUGUGACAGCUCCGCGUACUGACGGAAUAGUACGUUGAAGCCCGUAGGUAUAGGUUGGAUAGGCAAAUCCGUCCGACUUGCUGAAAGGUGAUAGUACUCCAAGGCUUCGGCUGCGGAGAUAGUGAGUGUAAUCAGACUUCCAAGAAAAACCUCUAAGCUUCAGGUUAAAGCGACUCGUACCGUAAACCGACACAGGUGGGUGAGGAGAGUAUCCUCAGGUGCUCGAGUGAAUCAUGGCUAAGGAACUAGGCAAAAUCGCCCCGUAACUUCGGGAGAAGGGGCGCCUCCGCGAGGAGGCCGCAGUGAAUAGGCCCAGGCGACUGUUUAGCAAAAACACAGGACUCUGCUAAAUCGAAAGAUGAUGUAUAGGGUCUGACACCUGCCCGGUGCUGGAAGGUUAAGAGGAGAUGUUAUCGCAAGAGAAGCAUUGAAUUGAAGCCCCAGUAAACGGCGGCCGUAACUAUAACGGUCCUAAGGUAGCGAAAUUCCUUGUCGGGUAAGUUCCGACCUGCACGAAUGGUGUAACGAUCUGGGCACUGUCUCAGCCAUGAGCUCGGUGAAAUUGUAGUAUCGGUGAAGAUGCCGAUUACCCGUAGUGGGACGAAAAGACCCCGUGAACCUUCACUACAGCUUAGUAUUGACUUCGAAUAAUAGAUGUGUAGGAUAGGUGGGAGAUAAUGAAGCGUGGUCGCUAGGCUGCGUGGAAUCAUCCUUGAAAUACCACCCUUCUGUUAUUUGGAGCCUAACCCCGAAAGGGGGACAGUGCUUGGUGGGUAGUUUGACUGGGGUGGUCGCCUCCAAAAGAGUAAC
rnacentral:rRNA from 1 species